GAUAUUAAUUUUAAGUACCUGUGAAAUGAAGUUCUUAAAACCUAAGAUUCCCCAAAACUCCAGUUAUCAACAAGGUUAUAUAGGAAUCAAAGCGAGGCAUUUGGAGUAGAUGCUGAGAUCACCUCUCCCUCACACCUCUGCUGACCCCAGCUACCUGCAAUCCUGCCAGGACCAUUCUGGAUUUUAAAGUUGAAGAUCCUUUGGAAUGUAAAUAAUCAGGUCU
rnacentral:lncRNA from 1 species